ensembl:antisense Il1bos interleukin 1 beta, opposite strand
AGUCUAGAAGCAGAUUCUGGGCCAGGGUCCACAUUUCAAACUAUGCCUGGAGGGACUAACACCUUCCUCAGAGCCUGUGUGCAGGGCUGGAAGGUCUGAUGAUUUUAUGGGCUGUCCUGACAGAGAUUAUUGGAGACUCCUUUGGUCUGCUGAUUUAUAACACUCCUAAACCCUUGAGCUGAUGCCUGAGAGGAGUGGUUGUCUGGGAGGAUUUGGAGGAAGGCACAUGCAUGAAGACGAAUGGCCAUUUAAUCGUGAGUAAGAGAUGAAGAGAUGGGAGGAGGUUUGUCUGGGAGGAGGCAAUGAUCUGGUUGAUGAUUCUUUUGCUUCUAGAGGGAGAUUUUGGAACUACUGGGCAAUGCCUCUGGUACUCUAUUGUUCUAUCAAACCUCAUCCUGGCCCUGUGACUUGGGCUCCAAAUUUCCUCCCCUUGUCGUUAUAGAGCAGGCAAGUUGCACAACAUGUAUAUCAAACCCUGUCUCUCAGACCACACUUCCUUUUUGGUCCCCAAUGAGUAGAAGAAAUAACUCACUAUAGAAAUUGUUAUGCUGGGGGUGUGGCAUAGUGAUGACGAUACUGAUGAUGAUGUUGGCAAAGGAAAUGAACAAAGCAAAAGAGGAAGUCGGCAAAGCCAGGAUGGUGACGGGCACUCUAGCUUUUGGGGAACUUUUCAGCUCUUGACUCACUCAGCACUUUUAAGCUGUAAGGUUCCCUCUGUUCUGACAUCUCAUUCCUCCAAGAUGGAGGCAGGCAUUUCUUCAAAGCUGAAAGUGCCUUGCUACCUGUUUUACUUACUUUCUAUUGCUGUGAUAACCAUGACUACUGUGCAGCCCAGACUGGCUUCAAGUACAUGACAAUUCUCCUGCAUUUGUCUCCCAAGGACUGAGAUUACAGGCACGAGCUCCCAGGCCCAGUUGAUGUAUGUGUUCUACAUCUUCUUUACUUAUCCUCUUGCUCAGAACAGAGCUAAGCAAUGACUGUCCUCAUUACUUUCUCCAGACCUUGUCUUAUUCCUUAAGUUGACGACUUAGCACAGGCCUUAGGGGUCUGUUCUUUCCCUCUCAUCUUUUCUGUCCUGGUUAGUUUUAUGUCAACUAGACACAAGCUAGAAUCAUCAGAGAGAAGGGAGCCUUAACUGACAAAAUACAUCCAAAAGAUCUGUCUGUAGGCAAGCCUGUAGGAAAUUUUAUUAAUUGGUAUUUACUUGGGGAGAAAUCAGCCUGUUGUGGGUGGUGCCAUCCCUGGGCUGGUGGUCCUGGGUUCUAUAAGAAAGUAGGUUGACAAGCCAUGAGGAGCAAGCCAGUGAGCAGCAUCCCUCCAUGAUCGCUGCAUCAGCUCCUGGUUCCAGGUUCCUGCCUUGCUUGAGUUCCUGUCCUGACUUCCUUUGAUGAUAAACUGUGAUGUGGAAAUAUACUCAGUGCUGGUGAGCUGGAGCUGAGAAAUUAGCAGUGACUAAGAAAAGUCCAGCAUUAUUGAGGUGAAAUCUUCUGGGAAGUGUUUUCUGAGAGCACACAGAAGCUGUUUUCCAGAGAUGGCCAAAGUUGUAUUUCUCCACUGGCAGCCAAAUUUGGUCCUGUGGAAGAGCCACCCAGGUGACACUGGUUCAUGGAAGAGCAGCUGAGUCUUGGCACUGACAAUACAGCCUCAGUGGCAGCUGAAGGCCCAGGAUUGAAAGGGUCAUACAGAGAAGUUGAGGCUUGUCACCAUGAAGAGAGCCCAGGAGAGUACUGGUAUAAGUCCAGCCCAGUUGCAGCAGAAGACCCCAGCAUUUUGGAGAUGCAAGUACCAUGGGAUGACCAUCAAGAACAGCAGCAGCAGUGGAGUGGAGCCAGCCAAAUCCUAAAAGACAAGCUGUUUGUGCUACAAAGGGCUGAGCUGCAGAAGUAACUCAAGUCCCUUAGAGGAUCCCAGAAGAUCUUGAGUGCAUCUUUGACGUUGGAACAUGCACUAUUUACAUUUUUGGAGUUUGGUCUUGCUUUGCUUUGAUUGCGAUUUUGACCUAGUUCUUCUCUCUUGAAAUAUAAUUUAUUUUUGAUUUUACAGAAGUCCAAAGUUGAGAGACUGAAUUUUAAAAGAGAUUGAUUAUUUUAAAGAGAGAGAACUUUUAAUGUAUUUGAAUUUGUGAGGAUUGUGGGACCUUUAAGUUGUUAAUGUUUUAUAUUGUGAUAUAAAUAUUAACAUAACAUCUUGGGGAUAAAUGAGAAAAGAAAGGUUCUAAUUAAAAAGUGAUAAGUUGGGCCUUGAGCUCAGCAAUUUAGAGCACUGGCUGCUUAUCCAGAGGUCCUGAGUUCAAGUCCCAGCACCCACAUGGUGGCUAACAGUAUCUGUAACAGUAGUCCCAUGGGAUUUAAUAAACUCUUCUAGUGUGUAGGAGUACAUGCAGACAAAAACACCCAUAUACAUAAAAUAUAUAAAUAAAUAAAUC